rnacentral:rRNA from 1 species
AGGAAUAUUGGUCAAUGGACGAGAGUCUGAACCAGCCAAGUAGCGUGAAGGAUGACUGCCCUAUGGGUUGUAAACUUCUUUUAUACGGGAAUAAAGUGGAGUAUGCAUACUCCUUUGUAUGUACCGUAUGGAUAAGGAUCGGCUAACUCCGUGCCAGCAGCCGCGGUAAUACGGAGGAUCCGAGCGUUAUCCGGAUUUAUUGGGUUUAAAGGGAGCGUAGAUGGGUUGUUAAGUCAGUUGUGAAAGUUUGCGGCUCAACCGUAAAAUUGCAAUUGAUACUGGCAGUCUUGAGUACAGUUGAGGUAGGCGGAAUUCGUGGUGUAGCGGUGAAAUGCUUAGAUAUCACGAAGAACUCCGAUUGCGAAGGCAGCUUACUAACCUGUAACUGACAUUGAUGCUCGAAAGUGUGGGUAUCAAACAGGAUUAGAUACCCUGGUAGUCCACACGGUAAACGAUGAAUACUCGCUGUAGGCGAUAUACAGUCUGCGGCCAAGCGAAAGCAUUAAGUAUUCCACCUGGGGAGUACGCCGGCAACGGUGAAACUCAAAGGAAUUGACGGGGGCCCGCACAAGCGGAGGAACAUGUGGUUUAAUUCGAUGAUACGCGAGGAACCUUACCCGGGCUUAAAUUGCAACCGAAUAUGGCGGAAACGCUAUAGCUAGCAAUAGCGGUUGUGAAGGUGCUGCAUGGCUGUCGUCAGCUCGUGCCGUGAGGUGUCGGCUUAAGUGCCAUAACGAGCGCAACCCUUGCCGAUAGUUACUAACAGGUUAUGCUGAGGACUCUGUCGGGACUGCCAUCGUAAGAUGUGAGGAAGGUGGGGAUGACGUCAAAUCAGCACGGCCCUUACGUCCGGGGCUACACACGUGUUACAAUGGGGGGUACAGAGGGCUGCUACCACGCAAGUGGAUGCCAAUCCCAAAAACCUCUCUCAGUUCGGAUUGAAGUCUGCAACCCGACUUCAUGAAGCUGGAUUCGCUAGUAAUCGCGCAUCAGCCACGGCGCGGUGAAUACGUUCCCG